UGUAUAUAUGUGUGUGUGUGUGUGUGUGUGUGUGCGCGCACACACACACACACACACGUAUACAUA
rnacentral:miRNA from 1 species